AACGCUAGCGGCAGGCUUAAUACAUGCAAGUUGAGGGCAGCAUGAUAUACGCGAGUAUAUUGAUGGCGACCGGCGGACGGGUGAGUAAUAGGUAGGAGACCUACCUCAUACAGGGGGAUAGCAUAGAGAAAUCUGUGGUAAUACCCCAUGAGGUUAUAUGAAUAGAGGCAUAUAAUCAAAGCAUAAGCGAUUAUGCGGUAUGAGAGGGGCCUACUGACCAUUAGCUAGUUGGUGAAGGUAAGGGCUCACCAAGGCGAAGAUGGUUAGGGGUUUUGAGAGAGAGACCCCCCACAUUGGAACUGAGAGACGGUCCAGACUCCUACGGGAGGCAGCAGUAGGGAAUAUUGGGCAAUGGGCGAAAGCCUGACCCAGCCAUGCCGCGUGAAGGAAGACGGCCUUAUGGGUUGUAAACUUCUUUACUAUGCGACUAACUAGAUUUACGAGAUAAUUCUAUAGAAUGUAGCAUAGCAAAAAGCACCGGCUAACUCCGUG
rnacentral:rRNA from 1 species